rnacentral:misc_RNA from 1 species
UUUCCGUAGGUGAACCUGCGGAAGGAUCAUUCAUAAUAAGUGUUUUAUGCCCCUUUUAUAUAUCUAUCUACCCUUUGUGCACAAUGUCAGGGUUGCUUUAUCUCACCAGAGGAUCAACCCCAAAUAUCUACUAUAUCUCUCUUCUUUCUCUGAUAAAUAUUAUGAUCAAAAACAACUAUCAUCAAACGAUCUAUAACGGAUCUCUUGGAUCUCGCACCCAUGAAGAACGCAGCAGAUCGGACGAGCCCCCGUCUGCACUCUCGUCACUUCGUACCAGUC